ACACACGAAGGUUGAUGUUUUCUGUGACAUGGACACUGACGGUGGUGGAUGGACAGUGUUUCAACACAGAGUCGAUGGAAGUGUGGAUUUUUUCAAGAAUUUUAGCAGCUAUGAGAAUGGAUUUGGAUCCCUCCAUGGAGAUUUUUGGCUAGGUUUGCGCUAUCUGAACGAAAUGUCGUCACGGCGAAACAACACGUUACGUAUCGAACUGCGAACACCAAACGCAACGAGGUUGUAUGACGUGUACGA